AGCGACUCCUGGGCCGCCGAAGCAGAAAGUGCAAACUUAACAGCUCCGCCACCGGGCCAGCCCAACAUACUCUUUUAGAAAGCAUUUACUCAUUAAAAAUCAGCUUUUUUUGCCAUUCUGUCCAAUAAAGGAGCAAACAACUACUAAGGUACAUGCCCAAUCCAACAUUACCACUCAGCACCAAGGGGGCCACCUUCUACAGAGGCAGCUUUGCAAAACUCAGCCUUACAAACCAGCUCAAAGCCAUUAAAUUGGAUGUCACAUAUCAUGGGUAACUUAAAGAAGGAACGAAUGUCCCCUGAGCCACUACUGUGAGUUAAGAACUGCUUUACAUAUGGCAUCGCAUUUAAUCUUCAGACAACCCUACAACAUUAUUAUUCCCAUUUUGCAGACAAGGAAAUCAGGGGCCAGAAAGUAACUUUCCCAGCUGCAAAAUAACCAGCAUUGAAUGCAUGUCUGUCUGGUUUAAUCUACACUCAGGUAUCAAUACCACAAAGCUAUUCCAAGCCCUUGAACAGUGCUGUCCAAGAGAACUUGCCACAGUGAUGGGAAUGCCCUCUCCCUGUGCUGUCCACCAGCUCCACCACAGCAGCCAAAAGCCACAUGCGGCUACUGAGCACUCACAUGUGCCUAGUGCUACUGAGCAACCGGAUAUUUUAUUUUAAUUUGUUUAAAUUUAAGUAGCCACGUGUGUCCCAUGGCUUCCGUCUUGGAGAGUGCAGAUCUAUGACACUCCUCUCUUAAGUACAUAGGCUAUUUGACUCAAUUUUACAGAAACACCAAUCUAUCAGUUUUCCACUAUCAACCUCUAGUUUUACCUUAUAUUACUUAUAAAAGAGUCAACAGAUGCCAAGGGCAGUAGGUCAGAAGGAAAAUGGGCAUGGGGCAGUGAACCGGCAAAUACAGCAGAAGAAAGAAGUGAGGGCAGGAAAUACGAGGAAGAGCACAAACUAAAGGAAUGUGGCUGGCGAGGGACAGUCCUGGUAGGGCCAACCACUUGACGCAUUUUCAUAAGCUCUAAGGCGGGCUAGGCAAGGACAGAGGAAGAAGGCACUCGGCAGCCUGGGGUAACUCAGAACGUGUCCAGUGCACUUCAGUGGGCUCCGAGACACCAUGUUAUGAUUCCUUCAUCCUAUUUGCUAUCGCUGAAGCACAUGAAAGGCUUGGAUGCUCAAAACAUUAGACGUGGAUUUCAGAAAAACCCAUGUAACCUCACAUCUCCAUGCCAAAAAAGCCAGGUGAAUGAUGAAUAACUGAGUCAUAAAGCACUUGCAGGUGUAAGGGGCCAGGUUUUCUGGGGCCCUUUGGGAAGUUGCAUCUUUUUUCAACUCUUCUUGCUAACCUUUGACACAGAUCCCAGGACUCCACCUUUGGAAAAAAACACUUUUAGCUGUAAUUUUGUAUCUUGAUCAUUUGAAUGGUUGAUGGCAAAGUAAACUGCUGAUUGCUCUUUGACGUUACAAUGCAAGCCAGCACAGAGGUGGAGAACAUGAGCUUUGAAAUCACACUAUCUGGUUCAAACACUGGUUCUGCCACUUAAUAGCUUUGUGACCUUGACCGUGUAGUAGUACUUAAUGUCUCUAUGCCUCGGUUUCCUCGUCUGUAAAGUGGGGAUAAGAAUGUAAUCUACCUUUCAGGAAUCUUCUAACUGCUCACGCAAAGCCAGACUGUAAGCACUUAUUAUUAGGUCAAGGACCUAGCUCCUGUAACGACCCUGAACAGUCAUUUGUCCAGACCAAGUAAGUGGGUUUGUCAAUCUAUAGGAUGACAAGGACAAUGUUUCCUCUAUAUGUCUGUAUCUUUCUUACACGGUUCACUUGCGACAAUGUAAAUAAACAUGCUUUAAGAAGGAUAAAGCUAUAAAUAAUAAUAGUUUAUCUUAUAUUAACAUGCUAAGUUUUUUUCUGAGGUCAAAAAGGAACUCUUUAUUCAAUAGAAAUCAUAAAAUGUUAGAACUAGAAGGGUCCUUGGAAGUCAUUUUAUGCAGUCCCCCAAUCCAGUGUGGCAGUCCUCUACAGGACCCUUUUCCCUCAAUUUUUUAAGCCUAGAAAAUUUGGGACAGGGAGCACAUUAUCUCAUGUAAACCAUUUCACACUUAAACAAUUCCUUGAGCCAAAACUUGCUUUUUCUAACCUCUACUUCUUUGAUAGGAAACAGAAGAGUUCUAACUCCCAUUCCACAUGGCAGUUUUUAAAAUAUUUGAAGCUGGUGACAAUGCUCCACACAUCCCCAAAUACACCCAUCCCGGCCAAUGACAUGCGUCUCAAAGUACAAGCAUCUCUGGUUGCCUCUAACGAUUUUCUAAUUCUUUGACAGACAAUCUUUUUUUUUUUGACCAUUCAACAUUCUUCCUCCACACACACUCUAGUUGGAUCAAUUUCCAUUCCACUAACAUUUCUCUAAUCUGCUACAUUCCAGGCCCAGUGCUGGGCUCUGCGGAAAGCAGCUGAGUUAGGAGACAGCAUGCCUAGUAUGGGAGGCAGAUAUGUCCACACAUACUGGAGCUUCCACCUGGCUCACAAAGGGCAGAGACAAGAAUCCACAAUCAACCUCUUCUUUGGGUACUAAAUUCUUCCGGCAAUCUGCUCCGAGAGUGAUCAGGCUUCUUGAGUAGCCUAUUGGUGACUUGUAUUAACUUAAAUCAAUUCCCCUUUCCCCGUCUCCUUUAUAAGAAUGGCCAAAUAUUCACUACAUUCUAUUUUGCUAUUAAUAUUAAUGGUUUGUGCCUAAGUACAAGACUUUGCAUUUAGCCCUUUUAAAUCUUACCGUGUUUGACUCAAUCAGCCCUUCUCGUGUGUGAACAUCAGUUUUAAGCCUAUAAUUUGGACUUUCUGGUCUCUGUGUCAGCUGCCAAUCAGGCAGGUAUUCUCCGUCCACUUUCUCCCAAUCACGCACAACAAAAACGACUCCCAGGUGACUGACUGCCCACGUCUACCACAGACACCAGGUAUUCGAGGCUUUGCAUUCACUCAGUUCAGUGAACAUUACUGAGCACACUUUUCAAGCAAGGCCCGUAGGCAGGGGAGAGGGUUAUAAAGUGAGGGAGACAAGAUCACUGCAUUUGGGACCUUGGAGCCUUACAGAGGCGACCAACGUGUGUAUGAAUAACUAGAAUGUGAGGCCUAAUGCUGGUGCUGUGGGACAUGAUCAGGAGAGCCAUUCACUCCAACUGAGAGGCUCUGAGAAGGCCUGAGAGAGGGGAGGGCAAGGGACCGGGGCCUUGACAGAUGAGGAAGCAUUCAGCAGGCAGUGGUGGGGAAAAGGGAGAGAACAGAAACUUGUAGGAAAUGGGUUUCUAAAUGACACAAGUGACAUAAGUAUUUUUCGUUUGUUUUGGAAUAUUUUUCUCCCUUCUGGAAACCUUCUUCAGAAGUAGUCAGUGUGUUAACUGUCAUCUCACAAACCUCUCCUCAACCACAAAGGGUUCAUUGCACUUCCAACUUUUGAUUUGGGAGUUUACAAUAACAUUUAUUUCUUUUCAAUCUUAAAAUGCAAAGCAAAAACACCCCAUGUUGACAAGUCAGGGGCAAACUCUUCGAGCCUUUCUUGUGCAACUCUGAAUGCCUUAAUGACACGUAUGCUUGCUACUGUCAGGAAGGCUGGGGAUGCUGGCUCCGGGCUUGGGGACGGGCCACAGUGAGGCGUUUCAAUGCUUCCUGAGUUCUGUCCCAUUCCUCACAGGGUGCCCAAUGACAUUUCAUUUUGUGUGGCCUUUUGCUUCCCUUGAAGGCUGGGUUAUGGUCUGAAUGUGCGUUCUUCCAGUAUGGCAGUCCUCCAUCAGGUGAAAUGCUGUCGAACUCUGAGGGGCGCUUUUGUUUAUAAACAGGCUUUUCACAGUACUUCCCUCCAACUGAGUCUCUAGUUGAAGCUUGAAAUGAUUAAAGAUGUUUGCAGGAGCCAGAGUUGAGGAAGAUUUUUUCCAUUCUUUUCUCUUGGAGGUCAUCAAGUCGCCAUACACAUCAUUCCAGCCACACCAAACCAAAAGGCAAUGCAAGUGAGAGUGCCUGCUUUGUAGUGCAAGGGUCGUCUUCCUUUGUGGAGAAUGAGGAGACAUCUGUGCACAGGGACUGCAUCUUACUCGUCUUUGUUUUCUUAGUACUGAGCAUAGCACCAAGCAUAUAGCAGGUGCUUAAUAUUAAUAAACACUGAAUAAGAGAAUAAUAUGAUGAAUGGGUGGAUGGCGUAGUUUCCUGAUCUCAAGAUGGGACUGUCCUAAUUAAAUACAAUUUUAAUAUUAAUUCAAGCCUGAGAUUCUAGGCUUAUAUCAUUUUGUGAAAUAAAUUAGGACAUUGAAGGCUAUUUACUUGGACAGUGUGCAUAUGCUGUAGAAGGCAGACCCAGUCUGAGAAUCCCAGGAGCCUGCAGAGGGCAUGUGACCCACUGCCUCCCACCGGUUCGCUGGUCCAGCAAACACAGUGCUAGGGACCAGAAUCCUGUCUGUAGACCCUAAAAUGUUAAGGCAAAAAGCCCUCAUUUUGCAGGUAAGAAAAGUGAGGCUGAGAGAAGAAAGGUGACGUACCCAAGGUCCCAUAGCAAGCGAGCUGCAUAGCUUGGACUGAGCUUACUGCUGCUUCCCCAGGAAAAGUGAUCAUUCAUAUUCAAGGUAGGAAAAUGAUAUGCAUCGACUCACGCCAUAACAGACCUAAUGGACUGAAUUAACUCCAAGGUUCCAGCCUUGCAAUGAAGACCCAGCGAGUCUAAGAACCGGGAGCCGAGCUGAAUUACAAAAGAUAAUUGCUAUAAAACAGACAGUGCCGGACUGUAAUCACCUGUCCUACCCUCCCAACACUUGGGGUACUCAGCGACUGACUGUGCCGCUGCCUAUGCCUAGCUCUUACUGUAUUCAAAUUACGGGUAGUUUCCAAAGGAUUAGGAGAUAAGAGGGCCUCGGAAUUAUCAUUUAAAUUUCUUUCAAACCUAAAAUACCGCUGGUGUGCUUCUGUUCGACAGCUCCAAAGGCUCAUGCUCGUGAGAGCUCACCUCCCAGUAGGAACUGCUGGAGAUCUGAAACACCAUCACUGAGUGUCUGUACGUCCCUGCAAGGAUGGACAACGCAUCAGUAUUGGAGCAUUUAUUUUUCAGGUUAUUUUUAAUGCGUGAGGUGGGGAAAUAAUAAAACAAUAGGCUUUCAGUCUGUGAAGCUGUUCUAUCUGAACACUUGAACCCCCAGGCCUGCCACCCCGAGCCCCUCUACCUAAAAUGGUUCUUGGCACACAGUAGGCACUUACUUCAAGUGGCUGAAUGAAUAAAUGUUGUGAAAGGUAGUCCGAUCCGCCCAUGAACUCUCCAGCUGAAAGAACCGAGCUGCAGGUUCUUUCCACAACAACAUGGUGAACCUAUACACGCCGCUCUAUGAAGUAAGAUUAUUAAAGUACCUAGUGCCAAUAUCUUUUUUUUUUUUUAACAAGCCACAAGGAGUGUUUUUCCCAUUGUCUCUAGUUAAUAGUAACAUCUUACGUUCGUCUGCGGAAACUUCCCAAGUGCAGGCCCUGAGUUAUCCCCUGUAGCCUGGGCUGUUUGAGACACUGUCCUCACGUGAAUCCACCGCAUCACCAUUCAGGGAUGCUGAGGAAGAGACGCAAUCAGAGCAUGUGCCCUUCUAGACACAUUACACAAUUCAUACACAGUGCAAUCACGAAACGGGAUUCAGUCAGUCCCAGGCACUGACGGUGGUGUGGCUCAAACCUGAUUCUCUAGGGGACAGCACCAUUCUCAUUGCUUUGGGGAGAUGUAUCCACAUUGCCUUGCUUUGCAGACCAGCUCUCCCAGAGUCCAUGCAAAAACAAUCUCAAAACAUCAAACACCAGCAAAGAAGGUGGGUGCUCUCUUUUCUUUCUUAAAAGCACUAGAAUGACCUUGCCAAAAAGGCCACAUAUUGACAUGAUGGGAAGUAACACAGCAUGGCUGCACCAUAAGGCGCUGAGGAAUUGGAAAUGUAUAAAAGGACUCCAUUAUGUGCAUGAAAUGAUUUACCUCUCCAGUCAACUGCAAAAAGUUAGCAUUUCAUAUACAUUAAAAUAAAAACUCCCUGAGAAACUACUGAAUUACUUGACAUGAUGGACCUAAGCAAUCCCACCACAACGCUAUAGAAGUCCCUUUGCAGACAUACUUAUAUCUGUAUUUGUUUUUGUCUUUCCCUGGAAGAUUUCUAAUCGAUGGUUGCCAAACAUUUCUUGAGUGUCUCGUUGCAAAAUACUUUUCAUAUAUGGACAAAUACUUAGGAAAAGUGGCUGCCCUCAAGGAGCUCACAUCUUUGUGAGGAGGACAAGACACAUAAAAAUGCCCACUCUGAUAUGCAAUAUCAUCUGUAGAAAGUACAGUAAGAACAGAGCAGGACAGAGCCCAGCCAAGGGAAUCUGAGAAAGCUUUUGAGAGAGCGGAGAGCGUGUGCAUGUGACCCUGAACUGUAGGCUCAUCCGCAGCGUUACUGCAGGUGAACGCAGUACCACGUGGGCAACAUGUGAGGGUCAGAGUGGGCAGGGAUCUCAGAGAUGGUUCAUCCACACCCUUCUUUCUCAGUUGAGAGUACGUGGGUCCAGGGAAGUCAAGUAAGUAGCUCAAGGAUACACUGAUCUUCUACCUGACCUGAUAACAGAACCCACUGUCCUAUCGUAUCCACGGCCUCCCUGCCACACAGCCCAUCGGUGCUUCACUUCUUUCAUCUGCACACAGGUCACCCAGUUCAGCACAGGUGACUCUGCAGAGGUGACCACAGGGUUUCACUAAGACUGAGCUCCAUGUUUUCAGUGCCUCUAAAAUAUGGAGACCUUGUCUAUGAUUCCAGCUGAAAUAUAGCAGCACUAAAAAGUGAGCUGUGUCCACGACAUGGCCUGCAUCAUUAUGCAACAAUGACUAACUAGUUACAGGCUGAUAAUAUAUUAGGUGACACAACAUCUGGACUGAGGUCCCUACCACCACUCCUGCCACAAUGAAAAUGAAGUAAAAAUAGAUAAAGAAAAGACCCCUAAUCUCACAGUACAGUAGAUGUUAGGACAAGAAAAGAACCUAUGAGGUCAAUCUCAUCUUAUAGUCGGGGAAUAUUAAUUUGCUGACAUGCUUUCUGCUGGAGAGUUUAAAGCAAAUUUGGCAUAAACGGUGCUACAAAGCUUCAACCUUUCUUACGAGGCUGAGCAAAAACAGUAAAAAGGAACCAGUUUUAGUCACCACAUUUUAUUACACAAAAGGCUGAAUCAGAAAAUUGGAAUAUUAAUAAAAUGUUUUCGACAAGGAAUCUGAUGAAAUAAAUAGCUUCGCACUUUCAUGAAGAUCUGAUGGGUUUCGGUCACGUUUAAGGCCAGUGACUCCCUUCUUGUAAUUACUAAUAGGGAUGGCUUAAUUACACCUCUAAGUCCCAAGAUAUUGCUGCAAUACACCAGCUGGGGACUGAAGUGCCCACUCUCUUCCAGAUUCCUGGAUUAUCUGGAGUCUGACAUGCAAAUCCCAUCAGCUUUGAUUCUGAUACUUCUAGAAAGGGGCGAAGGCAAUCUAUCUUUUGCUUUAUUCAUAAGGAAAAGUAAUCACAAGAGAUGUAUCGAUUUACUUACCUUUUAACUCUCUGGGCCACAGUCACCUACUUCCUAGCCAGCUUAUGAGCACACUGUCACAAACCAGAAGAGCAAGACUAGACAGGAUCCAAACUUCCCAAUGCUUUCAGAAUUGAAAGCCACACCUCAGGACCCUCCUCUGGAUGAGGAAGUGGUCCCAUUACAUGAUAGAAGCAGGCUUUGUGAAUCGAAAGCAAUUCACAGGACAGAAAAUCUUUCCCCUCCCCCAAAAAAACUGGCCUUUCUAAGAAGAGAACUGGGGAACCAGCAAUGCUUCAAAGUCACAGUGCCGUGAGCAUCGAUCGUGUAGCGUGUACCUGCCUGCCAAGCACGCAUUUCCCACCCUGACUUUCCUUUGGCAUAUAAGCCUCUUACCCCAAAUUUAGUCUAUGUAGUUUGAUGGGGCUGACCUCAUCCUCUGGCUCCAUAGGUGGGCCUGAGGCCCAGUGAUGAUCAAUAGGCAUGAAUUGUACUUCCCCCACCCUGACCUCAGUGACUGAUUCAGGAAUGGAGAGCAAGUCCUUUGAGAGCCAGUCCCAGGCCAUUCUGCGGAGCUAGUAGUGGAAAAGGCCUCUCUCGUUCUGCCAGGGUUGCUAAGCUAGUAGGAUGUAGUCCCAUAUUGUUGGGGGCCAUCACUGCCACUGCUUUGGGAAAGCCCUCUAAUAAAACCAACACAGAGAAAGUAAAGCUGGCAUGCGGAAACAAGGUUGAUUGAGCUCUCAGCUCCAACUAUGGCUGCAGCCAGACCACACCUAGACUUGGAGAUGUGAACCAAGAAAUUCCCUUUAGACUGAAGUCACACUAAGCUAGAUUCUUGUCAAUGACAAUCUGAAGAGUACUCACACAGGCAACAUUUUAAGUUCCGAUUUCUUAUUUAACGUAGCAGCAGGCAUGUGAGGCACCCUCUAUCAACUCCCCGUCAAAAUAAAAAGAAUGUAUACAUAGAAAGGGAAAAUGCAAUAUCUUGAGACUGUACCAGAGAUUAAAAGACCAGAAGAAAGAGCCAAAUGUUCUCUGGAUAUGUCUGUAUGAAAAACAAAAUCUCAACCUAAGUCCACUCUACUUUUUGAACCAGAACAGAACAAGCCCAUGCCAUCCAAUAUGGCAGCCACUAGCCACAUGAGGCUAUUCAAACUACAAUUAAAUAAUGUUAAAAAUUUUUUUAAGUCAGUUUCUCAAUCAUACUAGCUACAUUUCAACUGCUCAAUAGCCAUGCAUGGCUAGUGGUUACUAUAUUGACCAGUGCAGGUAGAGAACAUUCUCAUUAUCACCAAAAGUUCCAACAGAGAAUGCCGGCAGUAAUUCCGCCAAUUCCACAUGUGGGGUGUAGUCACUAUACUAACCAGAAAAUCAAGCUGCUACCAAAGAUUGACGAAUGAAGAUAUUCAUCAAAGAAUUAUUUAUAAUAAAGAAAGAGUGAGAUGAGAAAAAUAAGACUCGGCAAGAUUAAAUAAAUGGAGGAGCCUGGACUGAGACCUUUGUUGGUCUGACCUCAAACUCUAGUCCCUUUAUCUCUGCAACUCAAAAUAUUAACAGUGAUCACCUCUGGGUAGAAAUAUGACAUGUGACUUUUUUUCUCUUUCAUACUUUUUUGUAUUUUUCAAAUUCAAUAAACAAGGGAUUACUUCUUAGGAAAAAAAAUUCUGAAAGAAAAAUUCCUUAAACGUGACUAGAGCCAUGAUGUGGUUAAAAAACGACUGCUGCAUGCGAUGGAUUCCUUCUGAAAACGGGUUAAUUAUGAACACUAGGAGCUUUCAUAUUCUGCUGAAGAUCCUGUUCAAAUCUAAUUUCUCAAAGUAUAUUGCUAGAUGCUAAUGAAAACCCAAAGAGACACACGCCUUCAGGAGAUGUAUAGCCAAUGAAUUUUCUGUUGUUUUUAUAGUGAACAACUUUUUUAUAUCCUAACAUUUUUACGCCAGCCAUGAAAAAGAUAAAUAAAUAUUUAUGACAUUCACUCAA